AGCGUACACGGUGGAUGCCCUGGCAGUCAGAGGCGAUGAAGGACGUGCUAAUCUGCGAAAAGCGCCGGCGAGGUGAUAUGAACCUUUGACCCGGCGAUGUCCGAAUGGGGAAACCCAGUGCAAUCCGUUGCACUAUCGUUAACUGAAUACAUAGGUUAACGAGGCGAACCGGGGGAACUGAAACAUCUAAGUACCCCGAGGAAAAGAAAUCAACCGAGAUUCCCCCAGUAGCGGCGAGCGAACGGGGAGCAGCCCGGAGUCUGAAUCAGCUUGUGUGUUAGUGGAACGGUCUGGAAAGUCCGACGGUACAGGGUGAUAGUCCCGUACACGAAAGCACACUUGCUGUGAACUCGAAGAGUAGGGCGGGACACGUGGUAUCCUGUCUGAAUAUGGGGGGACCAUCCUCCAAGGCUAAAUACUCCUGACUGACCGAUAGUGAACCAGUACCGUGAGGGAAAGGCGAAAAGAACCCCGGCGAGGGGAGUGAAAAAGAACCUGAAACCGUGUACGUACAAGCAGUGGGAGCCUCUUUAUGGGGUGACUGCGUACCUUUUGUAUAAUGGGUCAGCGACUUAUAUUCUGUAGCAAGGUUAACCGUAUAGGGGAGCCGAAGGGAAACCGAGUCUUAACUGGGCGUUAAGUUGCAGGGUAUAGACCCGAAACCCGGUGAUCUAGCCAUGGGCAGGUUGAAGGUUGGGUAACACUAACUGGAGGACCGAACCGACUAAUGUUGAAAAAUUAGCGGAUGACCUGUGGCUGGGGGUGAAAGGCCAAUCAAACCGGGAGAUAGCUGGUUCUCCCCGAAAGCUAUUUAGGUAGCGCCUCGUGAACUCAUCUUCGGGGGUAGAGCACUGUUUCGGCUAGGGGGCCAUCCCGGCUUACCAACCCGAUGCAAACUACGAAUACCGAAGAAUGUUAUCACGGGAGACACACGGCGGGUGCUAACGUCCGUCGUGAAGAGGGAAACAACCCAGACCGCCAGCUAAGGUCCCAAAGUCAUGGUUAAGUGGGAAACGAUGUGGGAAGGCACAGACAGCCAGGAUGUUGGCUUAGAAGCAGCCAUCAUUUAAAGAAAGCGUAAUAGCUCACUGGUCGAGUCGGCCUGCGCGGAAGAUGUAACGGGGCUAAACCAUGCACCGAAGCUGCGGCAGCGACGCUUAUGCGUUGUUGGGUAGGGGAGCGUUCUGUAAGCCGUUGAAGGUGUNNNNNNNNNNNNNNNNNNNNNNNNNNNNNNNNNNNNNNNNNNNNNNNNNUUAACGCUGAGGUGUGAUGACGAGGCACUACGGUGCUGAAGUGAUAAAUGCCCUGCUUCCAGGAAAAGCCUCUAAGCAUCAGGUAACACGAAAUCGUACCCCAAACCGACACAGGUGGUCAGGUAGAGAAUACCAAGGCGCUUGAGAGAACUCGGGUGAAGGAACUAGGCAAAAUGGUGCCGUAACUUCGGGAGAAGGCACGCUGAUAUGUAGGUGAAGUCCCUGCGGACGGAGCUGAAAUCAGUCGAAGAUACCAGCUGGCUGCAACUGUUUAUUAAAAACACAGCACUGUGCAAACACGAAAGUGGACGUAUACGGUGUGACGCCUGCCCGGUGCCGGAAGGUUAAUUGAUGGGGUUAGCGGCAACGCGAAGCUCUUGAUCGAAGCCCCGGUAAACGGCGGCCGUAACUAUAACGGUCCUAAGGUAGCGAAAUUCCUUGUCGGGUAAGUUCCGACCUGCACGAAUGGCGUAAUGAUGGCCAGGCUGUCUCCACCCGAGACUCAGUGAAAUUGAACUCGCUGUGAAGAUGCAGUGUACCCGCGGCAAGACGGAAAGACCCCGUGAACCUUUACUAUAGCUUGACACUGAACACUGGUCCUUGAUGUGUAGGAUAGGUGGGAGGCUUUGAAGCGUGGACGCCAGUCUGCGUGGAGCCAACCUUGAAAUACCACCCUUUAAUGGCUGGUGUUCUAACGUAGACCCGUAAUCCGGGUUGCGGACAGUGUCUGGUGGGUAGUUUGACUGGGGCGGUCUCCUCCCAAAGAGUAACGGAGGAGCACGAAGGUUGGCUAAUCCUGGUCGGACAUCAGGAGGUUAGUGCAAUGGCAUAAGCCAGCUUGACUGCGAGCGUGACGGCGCGAGCAGGUGCGAAAGCAGGUCAUAGUGAUCCGGUGGUUCUGAAUGGAAGGGCCAUCGCUCAACGGAUAAAAGGUACUCCGGGGAUAACAGGCUGAUACCGCCCAAGAGUUCAUAUCGACGGCGGUGUUUGGCACCUCGAUGUCGGCUCAUCACAUCCUGGGGCUGAAGUAGGUCCCAAGGGUAUGGCUGUUCGCCAUUUAAAGUGGUACGCGAGCUGGGUUUAGAACGUCGUGAGACAGUUCGGUCCCUAUCUGCCGUGGGCGCUGGAGAAUUGAGGGGGGCUGCUCCUAGUACGAGAGGACCGGAGUGGACGCAUCACUGGUGUUCGGGUUGUCAUGCCAAUGGCACUGCCCGGUAGCUAAAUGCGGAAGAGAUAAGUGCUGAAAGCAUCUAAGCACGAAACUUGCCCCGAGAUGAGUUCU
rnacentral:rRNA from 1 species